AACGAACGCUGGCGGCAUGCCUAACACAUGCAAGUCGAACGAGAUCUUCGGGUCUAGUGGCGCACGGGUGCGUAACGCGUGGGAAUCUGCCCUUUGGUUCGGAAUAACAGUUGGAAACGACUGCUAAUACCGGAUGAUGACGAAAGUCCAAAGAUUUAUCGCCAGAGGAUGAGCCCGCGUGGGAUUAGCUAGUUGGUGUGGUAAAGGCGCACCAAGGAGACGAUCCUUAGCUGGUCGGAGAGGAUGAUCAGCCACACUGGGACUGAGACACGGCCCAGACUCCUACGGUAGGCAGCAGUGGGGAAUAUUGGACAAUGGGCGAAAGCCUGAUCCAGCAAUGCCGCGUGAGUGAUGAAGGCCUUAGGGUUGUAAAGCUCUUUUACCCGUGAUGAUAAUGACAGUACCGGGAGAAUAAGCUCCGGCUAACUCCGUGCCAGCCGCCGCUGUAA
rnacentral:rRNA from 1 species